UUCACCAGGCUGAAGAUUUUAAUGCUACUAAAAGACUGCUCAGCUUCAUUGUGAUCACCAUAGUUAACCUAAUUAUAAGGAAGAGAGCCCUGUUACCAUUUGAUCAUGCACAUAUGCCUCCCUCAGAUCCAUUGAUUGUUAUUCAUACUACGCCCUCAAUUCUUUAUGCGUCCCCUUUUGCCUCAUCCACAAUAUCAUUCUCAACAAAUCCCUACCCCCACUCCUUCUGCUGCAUUUUUAUAUGCCCUUAAAGAGAGUAUUGCCAUGUGUGUCUGAAAGCGUUAGAAUUAUGCCACAACACAUUAAAAUGUGAACAGUCAUGCAGUUUAUGGCAAAGGAAUUGUUUCAGUAGCACUUCCCUCAAGAAGUAUUCGAACAGUGAGUCGACUUCCUUUCUUUUUACUGUAGACUGGAAUCAUUUUGGGUUGAGAUCAAAGAUAAAGAUGAGAAAUGAUCAACAUUUCAGCUUUUAUUUCCAGGAUCUGACAUGUUCAACUUAAGAUAGCACGUUUGUUUGAACUCAACCGUAUUUCACAUGAGCAAAAGUAGUAGAACAUUAGACCAACAGGUUUGUUUUGUUGCCCAGGUAUGUAUUAUUACAUUGAUUAUUCAAGCAAUGAAUAGCUGAGGGUCUAUGUUCAGUUUCAGGUUUGGUUUUUGCCUGUCAAGACUGCCAUUUAUAUUGGUCUGAAGUGUAACCAACAUGAAAAACAGAGAGAUUAUAAUAGGUAAAAAAAACAAGCAUUUGUGAAGCCGAGAAAAGAUGGAAAAUCAAUGUGAAUCAUUGCACAAACAUUUGCCAUAGCCAAUAGAACAUUAUGGAAUGUCCUGAAGAAGAAGUAAAAACUGUUGUGCUAAGUACGUUGAACAGGGAGACCACAGAAAUUUGCAACAGUUGACGACAUGAACACUGUGAGCACUCCAAAGAGGCAAACAAACUAUUAGUGACAUCAGAGCAACAACCCCCAGAGGGCAGGAGUGAAGGUACCGCAAGCUACUGUUGGGAAUAGUAGCAGAGGACUUGAUGACCAAAAGUACAGAACCGCCACCAGAAGAUGCAAACGACUUACUCGCAACACGAAUUAGAAGGCCCAGCUGGCAUUUGCGAAAAACUAUGGACAUGUGGCUCAAAAGUGAUGUGACAGUUUUAAAGACCACUUAGUCAAAGAUUAGGUUUUGCCAUAAAGAUGGAAAGGUUAAAGUUCGGAGAACGAAAGGGUCUGCUCAUAAUUCCAAACAUACUGGCUCAUUGUGAAACACAGUGGAAGUAAUGUCAUGCAUAGUUUACGCUUGAAUGGCUUCUCGGACGAGCUCACUAAUCUUUAAUGAUGAUGUAAUACAUGAUGUCAGCUGCAGAAUAAACUACAUAAACAUUUUGUCUGCAAAUUUAAAGAAUAAUGCAACCAAACUGAUUGGCAGAUCCUUCAUCAUGCAGAAUUGCUAAGUCGCGACACACUUUUAUUGAAGAACAAUAAAUAAAAUGCAUUGUUAAAAAAUAGCCUUUGAAAACAUAUGUAUGUCAUUUUUUCAAACAGAACUCCACACACUUUCAUGUUCAAAAUGCCUUUUAGGGCACCUGGUUAAGAAGCUGAGGAUGAACAAAUAAUUACAUUUCUGCUGCCUGCCUGUCAAAUGUUACUUUCCAAAUAAAAGGCAACUCUAACCUGGGAUGCAUGUGAAAUACAGUGGGUACGGAAAGUAUUCAGACCGCCUUAAAUCUUUCCCUCUUUGUUAUAUAGUAGCCAUUUGGUAAAAUCAUUUAAGUUCAUUUUUUUCCGCAUUAAUGUACACACGGCACCCCAUAUUGACAGAAAAAAAUAGAAUUGUUGAAACUUUUGCAAAUGUAUUAAAAAAGAAAAACUUAAAAAUCAUACAGCCGUAAGUAUUCAGACCUUUUGCUCAGUAUUUAAUAGAAGCUCGCUUUUGACCUAAUACAGCCAUGAGUCUUUUUGGGAAUGCCAAGUUUUUCACUCCUGGAUUUGGGCAUCCUUUGCCAUUCCUCCUUGCAGAUCCUCUCCAGUUCUGUCAGGUUGGAUCGUGAACGUUGGUGGACAGCCAUUUUCAGGUCUCUCCAGAGAUGCUCAAUUGGGUUUCAGUCAGGGCUCUGGCAGAAAUCUUUUUGUAACCUGAGUCAAAUCUGUACCUUGCCACAAUUCUGUCGCUGAGCUCUUCAUGCAGUUCCUUAGACCUCAUGAUUCUCAUUUGCUCUGACAUGCACUGUGAGCUGUAAGGUCUUAUACAGACAGAUGUGUGGCUUUCCUAAUCAAGUCCAAUCAGUAUAAUCAAACACAGCUGGACUCCAAUGAACCUACUAAAGGAUGAUCAGAAGAAAUUGACAGCACCCAAGUUAAAUAUAUGAGCAUCACAGCAAAGGGUCUGAAUACUGAUGGCUAUGUGAUAUUUCAGUUUUUCUUUUUUAACUCAUUCCCUGCCAAUGCCGUCUAAAGACGUCAAUGGCGUUUUUUAACGGGGGAUGGGUGGGGGAGAGUCUUGUGCAGUUUAUGUGUGAUUGUCAAGCCUCUGGAUAACUGCAAUGAGGAUUGGCACCCUGUAGAGGGCAACAAUGCCUUCACCUGAAUGUCCCUCGCUCAGAGGAAGAAGAGGAAGAAGAAGGAGGAGGCGGGCCGGCGAGGUACAAGAGACAAUGAGAAAAGACAAACAUAAUGGUGGAAAAGAGAGAAGACAACAUGAAAAAAAUCUAAAAAAAAAAAAAAAAAAAAGCUUUCGGUACAAGAAAUUUAUUGCGCCAAGGCAAGAAUAAUAUUCCUGCGACCGACAGGAAUGACACCUUAGAUCAUACGGGGAAUAAACGAUGGUGCGCCAAGUCAGAAUGACGCUCCGAGCGAUUGCUUUGUUCCAAAGCUAUCGCUCAAAAUGCCGGCCCAUACAUAUGGCGAGAUCCUCCCAGCCGCUUGCCAGCUGAUUGCCUCUCGACCAAGAUUUGAGUAAAUGGGAUCUGGAAUCGUGAUGAGUGAACUCCGUCUGGAUACCCAGCCGAACUUCAUUACGAGGAUCCUUCGACGAAGUCCGACGAAGUCGAAGGAAUUCAACACCUGCGAGUCGAGCGUCUUUUAGGAUUGCGACAAAGAAAAGUUAUCCAUCCAGCAGACGUUCCCAUUUCCCAUUCCAGUACGCAGUGCAAAAAAAAAGGUUGUACUUCAAGCAAAAGUAGUGACUGGUUUCAAAGAGAAUGACAACCACAAAAGAUCCUGUUCACUGCCAACAGAAUAAUAAUAUCCAUAUGUGGAUCAAACUGCUAGAUUUUAUGUGCAAGGUAAUAAAAACCUGGAGUAUUGAGCAAACGGUAGAGGACGAGAAUUUGGAGGGGAAAAAGUACAAGUGUGGGAACCCCAUUUGUUCAUGCAUUUCUGUCUAAUGUAAAUUCUGUACAUAGUUAUACUUGUAAAUAAAUAAUUUUUCUGUCAAAAGUACUUUCUCAGUGUUGCUUUAUGUUCAGAUGUUGAGAUUUUCAUGAAAGAAAACAAAUAUUGGUGUCAAAGUCAUGGUUCUGCUUGAUAACAGAUAACUAGCAACCCUUUAUUGCUCAGUGACGUUUUUUGUCAAUGUCUUUAUGUCUCCAAAGUGUUCUCUGUCAAUUGACUGUCUGUUGUCGUACUAGAGCGGCUCCAACUACCGGAGACAAAUUCCUUGGGUGUUUUUUGGACAUGGCAAAUAAAGAUGAUUCUGAUUCUGAUGUGUCUGCUUUCACAAAAAGGCUGUUUUUGCCUUUUUUUUCUUCCAGAAACAGAUUUGGCUGAAAGUAGCCUAUAUGUGAUUGCUGAUUAGAAGAAGAAUAAUCACCUUUUUUAUUGUCAUGAACAUGCAUGCAUGCACACGAAAUUUGAAGUGACAAAUUUAAGGGAGUCUGAAUACUUUCCAUACCCACUGUAUGUUACUAUACAAGGGGUCCUUGGUGUCCAAUAGAGUUCUUCCCAUACGGCACCCAUG